rnacentral:rRNA from 1 species
GACGAACGCUGGCGGCGUGCUUAACACAUGCAAGUCGAACGGAAAGGCCCUGCUUUUGUGGGGUGCUCGAGUGGCGAACGGGUGAGUAACACGUGAGUAACCUGCCCUUGACUUUGGGAUAACUUCAGGAAACUGGGGCUAAUACCGGAUAGGAGCUCCUGCUGCAUGGUGGGGGUUGGAAAGUUUCGGCGGUUGGGGAUGGACUCGCGGCUUAUCAGCUUGUUGGUGGGGUAGUGGCUUACCAAGGCUUUGACGGGUAGCCGGCCUGAGAGGGUGACCGGCCACAUGGGGACUGAGAUACGGCCCGGACGCCUACGGGAGGCAGCAGUGGGGAAUAUUGCACAAUGGGCGGAAGCCUGAUGCAGCCACGCCGCGUGGGGGAUGACGGCCUUCGGGUUGUAAACCGCUUUCGCCUGUGACGAAGCGUGAGGGACGGUAAUGGGUAAAGAAGCACCGGCUAACUACGUG